rfam:Eutrema salsugineum unplaced genomic scaffold scaffold_3, whole genome shotgun sequence.
GUCCCUUCGGGGAGAUUUGAUAAAAUUGGAACGAUACAGAGAAGAUUAGCAUUGUCCCUACGCAAGGAUGACAUGCACAAAUCGAAAUAGUCCAAUUUUUUUU